UACGUAGGUGGCAAGCGUUGUCCGGAUUUACUGGGCGUAAAGCGCACGCAGGCGGUCUGUCAAGUCGGAUGUGAAAUCCCCGGGCUCAACCUGGGAACUGCAUUCGAAACUGGCAGGCUAGAGUCUUGUAGAGGGGGGUAGAAUUCCAGGUGUAGCGGUGAAAUGCGUAGAGAUCUGGAGGAAUACCGGUGGCGAAGGCGGCCCCCUGGACAAAGACUGACGCUCAGGUGCGAAAGCGUGGGGAGCAAACAGGAUUAGAUACCCUGGUAGUCCACGCCGUAAACGAUGUCGAUUUGGAGGUUGUGCCCUUGAGGCGUGGCUUCCGGAGCUAACGCGUUAAAUCGACCGCCUGGGGAGUACGGCCGCAAGGUUAAA
rnacentral:rRNA from 1 species